UUACACAAAAUGGAUGAUUGGUAGUGGACGAGAGUGUGUGACAAACAAAAUGGUAACGAAACGAAUUAGUAAUAAGAAGCAGUAAUAAAAAAUGAACUAUAAAAUCUCAUGCAACAUCACUACAAAAUAAAUAAAUUUCAAUUAAUUAAACAAUACAAAAUCAUCGUCAUCAUAGCAUUGCUAUCAUCAACAUAUCAUUAUUAUCAUCAUCAUUGAUGGACCUCCGGAGAUGGAACUGCAAAGUCAGUUCGUGGAUUCUGGCCUAAAGAGGACUAAGGAGGAUCAGACAUCGCAUCAAAAACACAAUCCGUGUCGGCCUGGCCACUAAAAAUAUAAAUCUGAUGGGAAGAACAUGAAUCACCGUGUACCGAGACUCGAUGACUGAACAGCCGUAACUGAUUAAUCUAAUUAAAUUCGUUUCUGCACCAUAAACAGAAUCAUCAAUUCAUGUUCUUGGGUAAUGACCAGGUCUAUGAGUUGGCCAACUGACAUUGCUAUAUCUGAAUGAUCCACCUUAUAGACAGCCUUAGCAGCAGCACCAACAUCGAA